rnacentral:rRNA from 1 species
GAUGAACGCUGGCGGCGUGCCUAAUACAUGCAAGUCGAGCGAACAGACGAGGAGCUUGCUCCUCUGACGUUAGCGGCGGACGGGUGAGUAACACGUGGAUAACCUACCUAUAAGACUGGGAUAACUUCGGGAAACCGGAUCUAAUACCGGAUAAUAUAUUGAACCGCAUGGUUCAAUAGUGAAAGACGGUUUUGCUGUCUCUUAUAGAUGGAUCCGCGCCGCAUUAGCUAGUUGGUAAGGUAACGGCUUACCAAGGCAACGAUGCGUAGCCGACCUGAGAGGGUGAUCGGCCACACGGGAACUGAGACACGGACAAGAGUCCUACGGGAGGCAGCAGUAGGGAAUCGUCCGCAAUGGGCGAAAGCCUGACGGAGCAACGCCGCGUGAGUGAUGAAGGUCUUCGGAUCGUAAAACUCUGUUAUUAGGGAAGAACAAAUGUGUAAGUAACUAUGCACGUCUUGACGGUACCUAAUCAGAAAGCAACGGCUAACUACGUG